rnacentral:rRNA from 1 species
UACGAAGGGGGCUAGCGUUGCUCGGAAUCACUGGGCGUAAAGGGCGCGUAGGCGGCUGAUUUAGUCGAGGGUGAAAGCCCGUGGCUCAACCACGGAAUGGCCUUCGAUACUGGUUGGCUUGAGACCGGAAGAGGACAGUGGAACUGCGAGUGUAGAGGUGAAAUUCGUAGAUAUUCGCAAGAACACCAGUGGCGAAGGCGGCUCACUGGCCCGGUACUGACGCUGAGGUGCGAAAGCGUGGGGAGCAAACAGG